rnacentral:rRNA from 1 species
GGGUCAGGACUGGGGUGAAGUCGUAACAAGGUAGCCGUAGGGGAACCUGUGGCUGGAUCACCU